rnacentral:rRNA from 1 species
GAUGAACGCUAGCGGGAGGCCUAACACAUGCAAGCCGAGCGGUAUUGUUUCUUCGGAAAUGAGAGAGCGGCGUACGGGUGCGGAACACGUGUGCAACCUGCCUUUAUCUGGGGGAUAGCCUUUCGAAAGGAAGAUUAAUACUCCAUAACAUAUUGAUUGGCAUCAAUUGAUAUUGAAAGCUCCGGCGGAUAGAGAUGGGCACGCGCAAGAUUAGCUAGUUGGUGAGGUAACGGCUCACCAAGGCGAUGAUCUUUAGGGGGCCUGAGAGGGUGAUCCCCCACACUGGUACUGAGGCACGGACCAGACUCCUACGGGAGGCAGCAGUGAGGAAUAUUGGUCAAUGGGUGCAAGCCUGAUCCAGCCAUCCCGCGUGAAGGACGACUGCCCUAUGGGUUGUAAACUUCUUUUGUAUAGGGAUAAACCUACCCUCGUGAGGGUAGCUGAAGGUACUAUACGAAUAAGCACCGGCUAACUCCGUGCCAGCCGCCGCGGUAA